GAAAAAACGUGACAGACAGGGAGAUUUUAUUCCUCAAAGACCAUCAACCAGUCGAAGUACUAGUUGCAUGCCACGUGUGUCCAGAGAUCAGCAUCAAUGUCCACGUGAAGAACCUAGUUAUGUUGCCAGUGUCAACCCAACAAAAGUGUAUGGAACUGAGGUGCUUCGUCAGGAGCUCCUUCAGUUGUUGGAGGAUGGAGAAGAGGAUGCAGCCAUGACUUGUGAGACGUCGUCUGAGUCAGCUGCUACUCACUAGGAGAUCAGAAACAUGGUGUCCUCGCAAAAGUGGAAAGAGGCCAGGCCUUGUCUUAUAGACAAUAUGUUAGCUACUCUGGAUCCACAGUCACACCGUGUGUGUCAGUGUGGCAAACAAGUAGUUGUGAGGUGUCUGGACUACCUGCCUCUUCCAUUCCUUUGUGCUGACUGUGAUAUUGCAGUUCACACAUGCUUUGUCCUGCACAACAGAGAGGUAGUAACAGGAGGGUUUUUGCAGCCUUCAUCAGAGUUUCACAAGCCAAUAGGUACGGUUUUUAAGUCCUAUGCAUUUCUUGCUAUGUUCUAUGAGUGGGUGCUGUUAUUGUAUAUUUAUUGUGUAUCAGUUAAUUUCCAAUUCUUUUUAUAUAUAUUGUGUGUUUUAAUGUUAGUUCGGCUGUUGCCUGUGCAAAGGCCAGACCAUGUGUGUGACUGCCCAGCAGGUAACGUUGAGGUUUCACCCGGCGCAAUUGUGGCUCUUGUAACCAUAAAUGGCCGUUAUAA